rnacentral:rRNA from 1 species
CCUACGGGAGGCAGCAGUAGGGAAUCUUUCACAAUGGGCGAAAGCCUGAUGGAGCAACGCCGCGUGCAGGAUGAAGGCCUUCGGGUUGUAAACUGCUUUUAUAAGCGAGAAAUAUGAUGGUAACUUAUGAAUAAGCAUCGGCUAACUACGUGCCAGCAGCCGCGGUCAUACGUAGGAUCCGAGCAUUAUCCGGAGUGACUGGGUGUAAAGAGUUGCGUAGGUGGCAUAAUAAGUAGCUAGUGAAAUCUGGUGGCUCAACCAUUCCGACUAUUAGCUAAACUGUUAAGCUCGAGACCGUUAGGGGUAACUGGAAUUUCUAGUGUAGGAGUGAAAUCCGUAGAUAUUAGAAGGAACACCAAUAGCGUAGGCAGGUUGCUGGGACGGUUCUGACACUAAGGCACGAAAGCGUAGGGAGCAAACGGGAUUAGAUACCCCAGUAGUC